GAAAACUCUCCUCAGUAUAGACAAUGGGAUAGGUGCAACAACAUGGUUAUCUCCUGGCUUACUAAUUCCCUUGCGCCGGAGAUAGUCGAGAGUGUUCAGUAUUCCGACACUGCUCAAAGCAUCUGGAAUCAGCUUAACAGUAGAUAUGGGACUGUGAAUGGGACCAUGAUAUUUGAGAUUAAACAGGAGUUGGCAUCAACUAAUCAGGGGUCUUUGGAUAUAGCAUCCUAUUUCAACAAGUUAAAGAAACUAUGGGAUGAGCUAUGUUUCAUGCGAGCAUCUCGGUGUAAUACUUGCACAUGCAAUGCCAGAUCUGAGCUUCAAAAGGAGGAUGAUGAAAAUAAAUUGCAUCGGUUUCUAAUGGGGCUCAAUGACAUAUAUGUGGGAGUCAGGAGCAACAUUCUCAUGUUACAGCCUCCACCUAGUCUGGAUUGUGCAUACAACAUUUUACUCCAAGAUGAAGUCUGGAUUGUGUCCCAAUUUCGUCAUGAUUCGAGUGCCUUCAAUACUCAUCUCAGCAACAGAUCCCGUCCUAUCACAUAAUUUCCUCCUUCAACAGCUGGGUACCCUAAGCAGUUUAAUCAGAGACUCAACUUUGACAUCAACAGGGCAACCUUAGUGUGUAGGUAUUGUAAGAAACCUGGUCACCUCAUUGACAAGUGCUACAAACUCCACGGUUUUCCAUCAGACUUCAAAUUCACAAAAGGUGUUCCAUCAGAUUUCAAAUUCACAAAAGGAAGGAGGAGUGCAGCUCAUGUUGAAGUGCAGGGGAGUCUAAACUCUGCUGGAAACCAGACCUACAUAUUUCAAAUUCACAAAAGGAAGGAGGAGUGCAGCUCAUGUUGAAGUGCAUGGGAGUCUAAACUCUGCUGGAAACCAGACCAAUAUUGCCAAUGAUCAGGGGGCUUCUGAAUCAGAGUCUGUCAUACCUGGCUUAACUAAAGAUCAGUACUCACAGCUUAUGCUGUUAUCAGACACAAAGUUCAGAGUCUCAGUAGCAGUCAAGUCUUAUGGCAUCAGGCAAUUUUGCUGGUAACUUUUCUUCAACCACUCACUUGAAAAAUGUAUCUUAUGGGGCUUGCAUGCUAACUAAAAUAAGUGACUGCAUUUGGAUUAUAGACUCUGGUGCCACUGAUCACAUGACCUCUAAUAAAGACCUUCUGUUGGCUUGCAUACUAACUAAAAUAAGUGAUUGCAUUUGGACUAUAGAUUCCGGUGCCACUGAUCACAUGACCUCUAAUAAAGACCUUCUGUUUGACAUUAAACCCUUAGUUAUACCAUAUCUAGUUACCUUACCCAAUUGUUACAAGGCUAAGGUAACUUGCACUGGCUCAAUACAAUUCUUUUCCUUCACUCUACAUCAUGUCCUUUACAUUCCCAGCUUUCAAUACAAUCUCAUCUCUGUGUCUAAACUUGUGUGCCAGUUAAAUUCUAUUGUCCUAUUUACUAAAUUCUCUUGUUUAAUACAGGCCCCUUCUCUGAAGAGGCC
rnacentral:lncRNA from 1 species